rnacentral:lncRNA from 1 species
UUUACUCUCCAUCUUCCUGUCGACAUGAACGGACCACUUACCGAUGAGGUGGGAUGAAGGUCUGGUGGCCAUCGGGAUGAGCCGGUGGUUCCUGCCGAAUCCAAAGAGCUAAAAAAAAAAGACUAAAGAAAGAGGAUUGAUUGGGCGGCGGACGGAUAGGAGACAAUGGUGGCCUACUGAUUGACUGAUUUCCAAUAGUUGCCUUCCAAUUUCUGAGGUAGAAGGGGUGCUAGUUUAGGUCCCUUCUUUGCCAGCC